UUUUCUAUGCAGAAGUUCUCAAGGAUACCCACCCCCAGCAACAACAACAACAACAACAAAAAUUCUAGGACCUAACUGAAUGAGUUUAACAAGGUCACUGGAUACGAAUUCAACCCAAGCCUUGACCAGAAACUUUUUCUGUCAGGAGUACAGCCAACUUAGAAGGACUCUCCACUAAAAAAAAAAAGGAUUCUUACUGAAACUAAUUUUUCCUGCUAGCCAGCCUGACAAGAAUUAACAGAAGUUUCCAAAGAGUAAAAUGAACUAAAAACCAUGAGUGGAAACUAGAGUGGUAGGCAGCAAAUCCCGUUAUCAAUACCAUAAGUGGAUGAUAAGCCUUGGGUCAGCAGUUUGCUGGUAUAGGUGAAUCUGACACUUCCAAUUUAGUAAGUUCAAACCCCCAAAAGGAAAGUGUUCUGGUUUCUGAGCUUUCUUUGUUUUGCUCUAAAUAUGAAUAAUAUUCACCUCACAAGGUCUGAAAAUAGGGCUAAUUAGGAGGCCUGAAGGAGUUAUUUCCUGGUUUCACUCUGCAGAUGCCAGAUAUCGGGGAGCUUUAGUAAUCUGUGUUUCUGCUCCCUCUGGCAAUACAACUAUUAAAAUUAGAAAGAGAAUUUGUUAUUUGUGAAAGCUUAACCAUAACAAUAUGUGCUAGAAAUGCAAAAUACUUAAUUAGGAGUUGAGAAUAUGAGAGAACAAUGAAAUGAGAAUAAACUAACAAAUAUUAUUAGAUUAAAUUUAUUUAUUAAUCAUGAGUUAUUUAUUAAUCCAAGUACCUUAUAGCUACCAAGAUACAGGAUACAAAAAGAGGUUAUUCUUUUUUUUUUUUUUUUUGGCCUGCAGCAGCCGAUAUUCUGAUGCAUUCAGGAUGGUAUGGCUGUAGACAAAAAAAGGUUAUUCUUAAGUGGGAGAGAAGAUAACUAAGUGCCCUGCAAAAUGCCUCAUGAUAUGUGCUAAAGUAAUAUUAGUAUGUACACUGUGCUAUGGAAUCAUCAAAGAGGGGAGCAACUAACUCUCUCCAAGGUUUGAAGAGCAGUGCAGUUGGAUUCUACUUCCAAUCUAUGAAAGUUUAACCAUACCUGUUAAAGUACUCUCUGAGGACCCAGUGAAAAAUCAGGCAGAUACCAGAGAGGAAUCUGUUCUUAUAAGAUAGCUGCAUAAGGUGAUAUCUGUGACUUUGUGGCUUUUUAACUGAUUGCAUUCCCCAGUCAUUUGCAACUUGGGUGGCAGAAAGCUGAAAUUUUAUAGACUUGAAAUGUCAGGGGACAGAGGUCAAACCGGCAGAGCAAGAAAUUACAGAGGAAUCUCUGCAAACAAGAAAAAUCAUAGGAAGGGUGAAUCCCAAAAUUUUAGUAUAAUGUCUGCUCAGGUGCUUGGCUAACAGCCAAGUUAUGUAGGCACAGCAGAGAAACCCCCCGCCUCAAGGGGCCAGGUUCAAACAACAGCAGCUGGAAACCAUAAGAACAAGAUAUCAGUACCUUAUUGUACAAGGGAGACAAAGUUUACAGUUUGAAUCUAGGCAAGUUAAGUAUUAAUAUCUACUAGAACAACAACAAAAACCCUAUAACAAUUCUUAGAAGAACACAGUUAAACCCAGUGUCUAGGCAUGCAAAGAAACAGAAGUAUAACCCCUACUCAAGGAGGGAAAAAGGGCAGUCAGUAGAAACUGACUGAGUGAGCCUAGUUAGAUUUAACAACAACUUCAAAGCAGUUAUUAUAAAUGUGUUGAAUGAGUUAAAGAAAAUAUGACAUCAAUGAGUGGGUAGAAAAUCUCAACCAAGAAAUGGAAACUCUAAAAAUGGAAAUUUGAGAGUUGAAAAAUACAGUAACUGAAAUUUUUAAAAAGUCCGAAUAGCUUCAACAGUAGAUUGGAAAAGAAAGCAGAUUGGCAAAAGAAGCCGUGAAAUUCAAGCUAAAUCAAUAGAAGUCACCCAAUUUUGAGAAACAGAGGAGAAAAAGAUGGAAUAAAGUUGAACAGAGAUAUGUAGGAAAAUAUCAAACAACAACCCAUAAUAUAUAUAAUUAGAGUCUUAGAAGGAGGGGCAGCAGAUUGUAGAAAAUUUUUGAAUAAAUAAUGACUGGAAUUUUCUCAAAUUUGGUGGGAAAAAAAUUGACUUACAAAUCCAAAAAAUACAACAGACUAAAGCAAGAUAAUCACGAAGAAAACCAUUUAUUGACUGUCCAGAGAAAAAUCAUAUAUUGUAUAUAGGGAACAGCAGUGCAAUUAACAUCUCACAUCUUAUCAGAAUCUGUGGAUGUCAAAAGACAUUGGACCAACAUACUCAAAUGUUGGAAGAAAGAAACCUUUCAGCCAAGAAUUCUGCAUCUGGCAAAAUUACCGUUCAAAAAUAAGGGGAAAAUAAAGACAUUUUUGGAUAAACAGAGAUGAGAGAAUUUUUCACUAGUAGACCUGCACUGUAAGAUAUUUUGACUGAAGGGAAAUGACACCAAAAUGGAUAUUUGGAUCUACACAAUGAGUGAAGAGCACAAGAAAUUAUAAAUCUGUGUGUAAAACAAAAAUAAUGAUUUUUUGUUAUUUCCUAAUAUCUUUAAAGGACAAGUGACUGUAAACAAAUAUAGUACUACUAUAUUGAUAUGUUUACAAUAUGUACAGAUAAUACACAGGACAAUAAAAAUACAGGAUAAGGCACAAGUAAAUGGAAUAUUUUGUAAGGUUUCUAUAGUUUUACCUUAAGUAAUUCAAUAAAUUUUCUCUUCUUUUUUCUUUCUUUUUUUUUUUCUACUUUGUCCCCCAGGCUUGAGUGCAGUGGUGUAAUCUCCACUCGCUGAAGCCCUCAACCACCCAGGUUUGAGCAGUCGUCUUGCCUCAGCCUUCCAAGUAGCUGAGACUACAGGCGUGCACCACCAUGCCAAGCUAAUUU